rnacentral:rRNA from 1 species
AUGCCGGAAGGGGUAAAUUCUACCUCCAUAGUUCUUAUUCCUAACAUUGCUAACCCCUCCAGCUUGUCUCACUACAGGCCGAUUAGUCUCUGUAAUGUCAUAUACAAGGUCAUCUCAAAGUGCAUGGUGAAUCGUUUAAGGCCAUUAUUGGAUGGUAUUGUUUCUCCAGAGCAAAGUGCCUUUAUCCCAGGGCGUUUGAUUACUGAUAAUGCUCUUGUGGCUUUUGAAUAUAUCCACCACAUUAAGCAAGAAAAGGAUCCUACAAAAAGCUUUUGUGCUUACAAACUCGAUCUCUCAAAGGCAUAUGAUAGGGUGGAUUGGAAGUUCUUGAAGCAGGUGAUGGAAAAGUUGGGUUUCUCUCAACGAUGGGUGGACUGGAUAAUGUCUUGUGUCACUCUGUCAAACUUAAUGGGACCCUCUUGGAUUCAUUUGCACCGUCGCGUGGGCUUCGGCAGGGCGAUCCGCUAUCCCCUUCUUGUUUCUUUUUGUGGCUGA